UACGGAGGGUGCAAGCGUUAUCCGGAUUUACUGGGUUUAAAGGGUGCGUAGGCGGGUUGUUAAGUCAGUGGUGAAAGAUUCGAGCUCAACUCGAGAACUGCCAUUGAUACUGACGAUCUUGAAUAUAGUUGAGGUGGGCGGAAUGUGUCAUGUAGCGGUGAAAUGCUUAGAUAUGACACAGAACACCGAUUGCGAAGGCAGCUUGCUAAACUAUUAUUGACGCUGAGGCACGAAAGCGUGGGUAGCGAACAGG
rnacentral:rRNA from 1 species